GACGAACGCUGGCGGCGUGCUUAACACAUGCAAGUCGAGCGGUGAAGGGAUCAGCUUGCUGGUUCUGGAUGAGUGGCGAACGGGUGAGUAACACGUGAGUAACCUGCCCCCUUCUUCUGGAUAACCGCAUGAAAGUGUGGCUAAUACGGGAUAUUCUGCGCCUGCUGCAUGGUGGGUGUGGGAAAGAUAUUGUUUCGGUGGGGGAUGGGCUCGCGGCCUAUCAGCUUGUUGGUGGGGUGAUGGCCUACCAAGGCGGGGACGGGUAGCCGGCCUGAGAGGGGGGACGGUCACACUGGGACUGAGACACGGCCCAGACUCCUACGGGAGGCAGCAGUGGGGAAUAUUGCACAAUGGGCGCAAGCCUGAUGCAGCGACGCCGCGUGAGGGAUGGAGGCCUUCGGGUUGUGAACCUCUUUCGCCAGUGAAGCAGGCCUGUCCCUUGUGGGUGGGUUGACGGUAGCUGGAUAAGAAGCGCCGGCUAACUACGUG
rnacentral:rRNA from 1 species